ACAGAGAAAAGGCCCAGAGACGUAGGCAAAGUUGUGUCGAACUUUGUUAUCAAUCUACGUGUUAUGGUUUGUUGUUAAUUCUUUCAUUUCAGAUCUGAAAAUGUAUAUAUGGCUGUCAUAAUUCCUCUUAUUUCCUCAUUCUUCACUAAGUUUUCUCAAAUGGUUAAAUAACGCAUGCAAAAUUAAAACUCAACCAUAAGUCAUUGAAAAAGCCUGACGGAUCAGCGGAUAAAUGAUAGGAAUUACUAUGACUCUCUUAAUAUAGCCAAAUGACUUGUCAUAUAAUUAGUCACAUGCAUGAAUGGAUUAAGGAGAUUCCCACAAUCCCUAUAUACUAUCUAUACAAACCAAAACUAAGGGAACGGGCUUGGCAGAAUCAACGGGUAAAGAAGACCCUGUUGAGCUUGACUGUAGUCUGACUUUGUGAAAUGACUUGAGAGGUGUAGAAUAAGUGGGAGCCCUUUUUAGCGCAAGUUAAAUACCAAUACUUUUAAUGUUAUUUUACUUAUUCCAUGGGGAGGAGAUGGGGCAUUGCCCCUAUUUUUUUCCUUAUGACACGUUUUUACAGGUCAAUCCGAGCAUAAGGCAUUGUCAGGUGGGAAGUUUGGCUAGGGUGGUACAUUUGUUAAAAGAUAACGCGGGUGUCCUAAGAUGAGAUCAACGAGAAAAAAAAUCUUGUGUGGAACAAAAGGGUAAAAGCUUAUUUGAUUUUGAUUUUUAGUACGAAUACAAACCAUGAAACUAUGGCCUAUCGAUCCUUUAUAAUUUUGAAAUUUGAAGCUAGAGGUGUCAGAAAAGUUACCACGGGGAUAACUAUCUUGUAGAAUCCAAGCGUUCAUAGUGACGUUGCUUUUUUAUCCUUUGAUGUCGACUCUUCCUAUCAUUGUGAAGCAUAAUUCACCAUGUGUUGGAUUGUUCACCCACCAAUAGGGAACGUGAGUUGGGUUUAGACCAUCGUGAGACAAGUUAGUUUUACCCUACUUAUGAACCGAACCUAAAUAGUAAUUCAACUUAGUACAAGAGGAACCAUUGAUUCAGACAAUUGGUCAUCGCGUUUGGUUGAAAAUACAGUGGCGCGAAGCUACCAUGUGUCGAAUUAUGACUGAAUGGCUCUAACUCAGAAUCAACACUAGAAGUAAUGCUUGUCACUCAUCGAUUGUAUAUUUAAUUACAUUAGGGACAUCACUUCAACACCCUAGGGGCCCGUGUCACUUGCAAACCCUGGUCAGGAAGAGUCUCAGUUGGGGAAUUUUUGAAGUUCAAUUUCAAACGACCAUUGAGAAGAAUCCUUUGCAGAUGACUUCAAUAUGUGACGUGGUACUGUAAGUUUCACAGUGGUUGAUCCAAGAGGAUAUUUCUAA
rnacentral:ncRNA from 1 species